GACGUAGGAGGCGAGCGUUGUCCGGAAUCAUUGGGCGUAAAGAGCGUGUAGGCGGCCAGAUAAGUCCGCUGUGAAAUCUCGAGGCUCAACUUCGAGCUGUCGGUGGAAACUGUCUGGCUAGAGUCCGGAAGAGGAGAAUGGAAUUCCUGGUGUAGCGGUGAAAUGCGCAGAUAUCAGGAAGAACACCCGUGGCGAAGGUGGUUCUCUGGGACGGUACUGACGCUGAGACGCGAAAGCGUGGGGAGCGAACAGG
rnacentral:rRNA from 1 species